rnacentral:rRNA from 1 species
GACGAACGCUGGCGGCGUGCUUAACACAUGCAAGUCGAACGAAGAGCGAUGGAAGCUUGCUUCUAUCAAUCUUAGUGGCGAGCGGGUGAGUAACGCGUAAUCAACCUGCCCUUCAGAGGGGGACAACAGUUGGAAACGACUGCUAAUACCGCAUACGAUCUAAACUCGGCAUCGAGGAUAGAUGAAAGGUGGCCUCUACAUGUAAGCUAUCACUGAAGGAGGGGAUUGCGUCUGAUUAGCUAGUUGGAGGGGUAACGGCCCACCAAGGCGAUGAUCAGUAGCCGGUCUGAGAGGAUGAACGGCCACAUUGGGACUGAGACACGGCCCAGACUCCUACGGGAGGCAGCAGUGGGGAAUCUUCCGCAAUGGACGAAAGUCUGACGGAGCAACGCCGCGUGAGUGAUGACGGCCUUCGGGUUGUAAAGCUCUGUUAAUCGGGACGAAAGGCCUUCUUGCGAAUAGUGAGAAGGAUUGACGGUACCGGAAUAGAAAGCCACGGCUAACUACGUG